rnacentral:lncRNA from 1 species
AGCGAGGAGUGUAACAGCACCCUGGGCUGUGCUCCACGGUCUGGGAAGGGCCUGAGCCCAAGGUUGAGGAGGCAAGAGUGUGGAUGCGUGAGGCCACAGCCGGGCAUCCCCAAGAAGCCGGAAAUGGCAUGGCCACCAAGGGAAAGGAGGGCUGGCCGUACUUAGGCCCCUGUCCCCGAAGCCCUCUUGUUUACCAGUCAGCCAGCCAGAAGGGCUUCGGCCUGGGAUGCGGCACAAGUCGCCCAGAGAAAAGAGUCACAAAGUGCUUGAAUUAGGGGAUUGGAAGGGUUGUAAAGAAGGCAGGCCAGCUUCUCGGCCAUUUUCAGAAAAUGCCCACGGUUCUUUUCCCACGGAGGUGAAAUAAGAAUCUAAAAGCAAUGAAAUGUUCACGCCUGCAGAGCUCGAAAGCAAGAAAAAGAAAAGAAGGAACAAAGAAUGCAUACGCCUUGGCACCAACUUCACUUUCUCAGCCAUCUGUAAGUCCCGGGCCUCCCUUUUGUCUUGCUCCGGGCCCUGAGCGUUUCCAGACUCUUCGAAAGCCUGACCUGGGAGGGGAAACUGGAAUCAACCCGUUGACCGACCCCCUCUUUCCAACACACCCUCCACCCCUGUCACGGGAAGGGUGGUGGGGGUUCCGGGCUGUGGGCGAGACUGGGAAUCCGAUGAAGCCUCCGAGAGAGGGGUGCGGGGCCCGGGCCGGAAGGACAGGCCGGCCGAGGGGUGGGGAGGGGCUCGGUGCGCACCUCUCCCCCGCCAGGCGCGGGGUUGGCCUCGCUGCCCUCCGGCGGGUCCCGCGGCCGCGCUGACGGACCGCGAGUCUGCGGGGCUCGCUCCCGGGCCUGGCUCGGGGCCGUCGCCGCCGCCGCCGCCGCCACCCCCCUCCCCGCGCGCAGGCUGUCUCCAGUCGCGGCCACGGGGUAGCGCUCGGCCCCCCUCUCCGCGUCUCCGCCUCCGCCUCCGCCGCGCUCGUCCCCGGCUCACGCGGCCCCCGCAGCUCCCGCUCGGCGCAGGCAGGAGCGGCUCUCCGGACGCCGAGCCCGGGAAGCGGAGGGCGGCGGGCUCGGCGAGCGGCGGCGGCUGCGGAGGCGGGCGGCGAGCGGCGGCGGCGCGGCCGAGGCGCCGGG